rnacentral:lncRNA from 1 species
GCGCUGCCGCUGCCACCACCACCCAACAGGUUUUUAUCAAACCACCCAAAUAUUUUCUAAAAUGGCAGCACUACUUCACAUACAGCUUCAGUACCCUUCCCCUCCGAUACUUGCAACUGUCUGUCUUUUUUUUUUCUUUUUUAGUUAUUUGCUUAUUUUAUUUUUAUGUACAUGCGUUUGUGUGUGCCCACAGCAUGCGUGUGGAGGUCAGAGACAACUUGUGGGCGUUGGUUCUUUCCUUCUACCAUGAGGGUUCCAGGAAUCAAAACGACUUCAAGGAUCUCAAGUGACCAAGCUUCUGCAACUGGAGACUUUGCAAAUGCAGGAGCCCUGCCACUUCUGGCUUUGGAGAUGGAAGGAGGUGUGUGAUGAGAGCAGCCCGGAGACUGGGACACUGGGAGGGAUGGCUUUUCCCAGUGACACACUCAGAUGGACUCCAUCUUGCCUUCGCCUUGGUUUUGACUCCAUAGAACCUACUUCAGACUUUCCCCAGAGCUGCAAAGGUAGUAAAUGGGUGCAGUUUCAAAGUGACCACGCAGCUCUGGGGCAUUUGGUUCCAGCAGGAAAAGGACUGUGAUAUGGUGAGCGUGUAUUUUAUCAUAAUAAAAGAGAAACCACACCGUUAAAGCAAAGUGGUAGGCAAUUGCCCAGCUCAGUGUGGCUAUAAGGGAACUCUGGUAGCAAGCUAACUCAAGAACAGAAAGAGGUUUUAUUUUGCUCACAGUUUUGGUGAUUCAUGGACACGGUGCCUGAACUGGCUCAGGUCCAAUGAGGAUCUCAUGGCAACGGUAUGAACACAGCAUCUUGAACAGGAAGAGGAGAAUGCUGGGUGAGACCACACUGGGGACUAACGAGCCUCUCGUGAGAAUUACCAAGGAGGACCAAUGGACUGAUUUCUCCUGGGCACAACUCUGAUGGCCUAAGGCCUUCAAUUAGGCCUCUCCUCCAAAGGUUCCACCAUCUUCCAUGGUGCCACGUUGCAGAUCAAGCUUUUGAACACCAGGGACCUUGGGAGAUGCAAUGCUCAAACCACCUCCAGCUUUGUCCUCACUCGGGAGCCUGUCUGCUUCAUGCAGAUGGGAGCAGCCAGACAUAAGGGAGACUUUAAAAAACUCUGGGGUGAAAUUUGUGAAAUCUCUCUAAAAGUGGAGAGUCAGAGAAUUUGAAAACACUACUUAAAA